UACGUAGGCAGCGAGCGUUGUUCGGAGUUACUGGGCGUAAAGCGUGCGUAGGCGGUGGCCCAAGUCUGGUGUGAAAUCUCCCGGCUUAACCGGGAGGGUGCGCCGGAAACUGGGCUGCUGGAGUACGGGAGAGGCAAGCGGAAUUCCGGGUGUAGCGGUGGAAUGCGUAGAGAUCCGGAAGAACACCGGAGGCGAAGGCGGCUUGCUGGGCUCGGUCUGACGCUGAGGCGCGAAAGCGUGGGGAGCGAACAGG
rnacentral:rRNA from 1 species